rnacentral:rRNA from 1 species
GAUGAACGCUGGCGGCGUGCCUAACACAUGCAAGUCGAACGAACAGACGAGGAGCUUGCUCCUCUGACGUUAGCGGCGGACGGGAGAGUAACACGUGGAUAACCUACCUAUAAGACUGGGAUAACUUCGGGAAACCGGAGCUAAUACCGGAUAAUAUAUUGAACCGCAUGGUUCAAUAGUGAAAGACGGUUUUGCUGUCAGUUAUAGACGGAUCCGCGCCGCAGUAGCUAGUUGGUAAGGUAACGGCUUACCAAGCAGACGAUGCGUAGCCGACCUGAGAGGGUCGACGACCAGCCUGGAUCUGAGGCUCGGUCCAGACUCCUACGGGAGGCAGCGGUAGGGACUCUUCCGCGAGGGGGGAGAGCCUGACGGAGCGACGUCGCGUGAAUGAUGAAGGUCUUCGGAUCGUUGAACGCUGUUAUUAGGAAGGAUCUAAUGUGUUAGUAACUAUGCACGUCUUGACGGUACCUGGUCAGAAAGCCACGGCUAACUACGUG